UGCCCAGCUCAUGGAGUUGCUCACUAUCAGUUGAAUAAAUGAAUGAAUUAGCUAUUAAUAUUUUUGUUAUUGUUAUUAUUAGUAUAAGCUUCUGUUUUGUCUAGGAAUUCUAAAAGCUAACCCAGGAUUGAGCCAGAAGGCUGCAGACUGCUUCAGAGUGGGCUCUUUUCAGGGUUAUUUUAUACAGUCACACUCUGGUGCGUUGUCAUCAGCCUAUACUGAGGGAAAAAUGCAUGUAUUGCUAGAAUAUUAUUGAGGAUAUUAUUCAUUAUUUUUGUGAUGUCCUCUUUGUGCAGACCAAUAGUGAAAUUUGUCUCUGCUGUCAGUUUCAGAAAUUUUCAGGCCAUCGGUUCAUUUUCGAUUUGUGAAUACUGGAACUCCAGUAGCUGAUGGUGUUUUCUUCCUUGUGUCAGCUGCCAGAAAGCAUAGAACAAAAUGUGUGUUCUAUCACUAGCAAGGAUGGCGUUUAUGCUAUGCACUGAUCUGUCCCUACGUGUUUGCUUUGCAACUGUUCUUUUCCCUUUGCCUUACUUUUGUUAAUUGUCUUAAAUUCGUGUUAUAUCAGUCUAGUGUCUUCAGUCCUUUUUUCUGAGAUGUAAAAGUUGAUCUAAAUUUUAGUAACAUUAAAGUUAGUAAGCUUUUUAUUAAUAAAAUUACUCUUAUGGAGAUGAUAAUAACAAUUUAGUAUUUAGAAAUGCUUUCCUAGUCAUAAUGUAUUCAGUUCUUACACAAGUGAUGAGAGACAGGCAGCCUAGGAAUUGUAUUUUCAUACUGUAGCCAGGGAAACUGAAGCAUAGAAUGAUCAUGUGCUUUACCCAAAUUUAAAUGGCUAACUAAACUGAGGAAGCCAGAGAGAAUCCAGACCUUCAAAUUGUUCCUCCAAAGAUCUCACUUUUGGUUGAUAUUCCUUCACUUGGCUCAACUUUUCUGGUUAGAUAAACAUUUUUCACAUAACGUCUGGCUCAGCAGCACUUCCAUUGGAUGACAUGUGGCUUCCAUUUUUGCCAUGGAAUUGCACCAUAUAUGAGUAUUUAACUUAGAGACAGACUUGAGAAUCAAAUUCAACUGCAGAAACAGAAUAGGGCCUGGGCUCUGGAGUCAAGACUGUCUGUGUUCAAAUCCUAGAUCUGCUAAUUACUAGCUGUAGAAGCCUAUGAAAGUUGCCCAACAUUUCUGUGCCCUAGUUUCUCACAUCAUCUAUAAAACAGAAAUGAAGAUACUAAGAAUACCUAGGUCAUUGGAUUGUUUGGAGAAGACAAUGAGAGGAUACAUUUAAAGCUCCUAGAACAGUACUGGGAACAUAGUAGGCACUGAACAAUUGUUAAUUGUUUUCUUAGACCAGGUCCCAGGGAAAUGAGCCAAACCUCAGCUUGUGUACUAAAAUAUAACAUAGUUAUUUGCAACUGGGAAGCAAGAGAGAAGAAUAAAAGAGAAAUGAAGUUGGGAUAAAAGUAAAGAAAAUGCAAGGUAGUAUGUUUUUAAGCUGGCCAUGAUGUCAUAAGAAAACAAAGAUGAAUGCUCAAUCUUGUGGGACUUCAUCCAUGUAGGCUAUAUGGAAUCACUGCAUUCAGGGACAGCCCAUUGAGCACAAGGGAGUAGAAGAGGUUUUUUUGUUUUUUUUUUUCUUAAUCCUUAUCUUCUGUUUCUCAUUGAUCAAAGUUCAGUCCGUGGGACAUUAACUCUCCUCUACUUCUAGCAGGUGGUGUUACCUGGCCAGAUCCCAUGUCCUCAGAUGUAGCAUGGGUCUCAUCUGAGCUCAGAAGUGUGAAGAACCAAAGCCUUUACAAGAAAAUCAAGGCACAGAAACUAAGAAAAUUGUCAAAGAUCUGACAGAGGCAGGAUUUAGAUCUAGCCCCUUGGAGCACGUGCAGUUGUUAUCCACAAUUGAGGCCAAACGACUUUGUAUGACUCAGGAAGGUCAAGCCUAACAGGUAAAAGAGUUGGGGUUCAAAACCAAGACAAUUUUGUUUCAGAGCUUAUCACUAUUCUAUGCUGUCUUCAUCAGAUGUAAAUAGUUUGCCCUUGACCUGCAGUAAUCUAUCUUACAGAAAUCCAUGGUAUGAGCAUUAUUGGUUAUACUCAAGUUAAAGUCAUCCACAGUAAAACUGAGAACUGCCUAUCAAUUUUGCUAAAGGACAUACUGUACUUCCUUAACUUGAGUCUCAACUUAGUGUUGACAUGGGGGAUCCUAUACGUCAAGAUUAUUUGCCUAUUAAACUUGUCAUCUGCUUUUAUAGAAAUUCAAGUUUAAUAUGUGGUAAGCCUCAGAAAGCCGUACAUGCUUUGAUAUGCUUAGAGAUUUUCCAGGUGUUCAAAUGAUAGUGAAGACCGGUAGACCGGUCUUAACUUUCCACUGAAACAUUUAACCAGAACAGUCUCUGGGUCUGAGUCUUUCCUUUUUGGGAUGUAACAGGGAAACGAGUAGACAGAAUGUCUGUCUAAUUGCCGUUUCUCCAAACACCACUGUCAUGUCUCUGGGCCAUUCCUCAAGCUAUUCCCUUUUACUGGAAUUAUUUUCACUCGUUUCACUAUCUGACUAAAUCCUUUUGAGUCUUAAAGAUCUGGCUCAACCCUUACUUUUUCCUGUGAAAACUUCCCAACCCUUUUCCUCUGGACUGCGACUAACCAUACUCUUUGCAAGAAUGAGUAACUUCUGUGCUUUCACUUUUUUAUACGUCUAUUACAGAAUCUUUCAUUAUGUA